rnacentral:rRNA from 1 species
UACGUAGGGGGCAAGCGUUGUCCGGAAUCAUUGGGCGUAAAGAGCGUGUAGGCGGCCAGGUAGGUCGGUUGUGAAAACUGGAGGCUCAACCUUCAGAGGUCGACCGAAACCAUCUGGCUAGAGUCCGGGAGAGGAGAGUGGAAUUCCUGGUGUAGCGGUGAAAUGCGCAGAUAUCAGGAAGAACACCCGUGGCGAAAGCGGCUCUCUGGAACGGU